AAAUCGUACCCCAAACCGACACAGGUGGUCAGGUAGAGAAUACCAAGGCGCUUGAGAGAACUCGGGUGAAGGAACUAGGCAAAAUGGUGCCGUAACUUCGGGAGAAGGCACGCUGGUGUGUAGGUGAAGUCCCUGCGGAUGGAGCUGAGACCAGUCGAAGAUACCAGCUGGCUGCAACUGUUUAUUAAAAACACAGCACUGUGCAAACACGAAAGUGGACGUAUACGGUGUGACGCCUGCCCGGUGCCGGAAGGUUAAUUGAUGGGGUUAUCCGUAAGGAGAAGCUCUUGAUCGAAGCCCCGGUAAACGGCGGCCGUAACUAUAACGGUCCUAAGGUAGCGAAAUUCCUUGUCGGGUAAGUUCCGACCUGCACGAAUGGCGUAAUGAUGGCCAGGCUGUCUCCACCCGAGACUCAGUGAAAUUGAACUCGCUGUGAAGAUGCAGUGUACCCGCGGCAAGACGGAAAGACCCCGUGAACCUUUACUAUAGCUUGACACUGAACAUUGAGCCUUGAUGUGUAGGAUAGGUGGGAGGCUUUGAAGCGUGGACGCCAGUCUGCGUGGAGCCAACCUUGAAAUACCACCCUUUAAUGUUUGAUGUUCUAACGUUGGCCCCUUACCGGGGUUGCGGACAGUGUCUGGUGGGUAGUUUGACUGGGGCGGUCUCCUCCCAAAGCGUAACGGAGGAGCACGAAGGUUAGCUAAUCCUGGUCGGACAUCAGGAGGUUAGUGCAAUGGCAUAAGCUAGCUUGACUGCGAGCGUGACGGCGCGAGCAGGUGCGAAAGCAGGUCAUAGUGAUCCGGUGGUUCUGAAUGGAAGGGCCAUCGCUCAACGGAUAAAAGGUACUCCGGGGAUAACAGGCUGAUACCGCCCAAGAGUUCAUAUCGACGGCGGUGUUUGGCACCUCGAUGUCGGCUCAUCACAUCCUGGGGCUGAAGUAGGUCCCAAGGGUAUGGCUGUUCGCCAUUUAAAGUGGUACGCGAGCUGGGUUUAGAACGUCGUGAGACAGUUCGGUCCCUAUCUGCCGUGGGCGCUGGAGAAUUGAGGGGGGCUGCUCCUAGUACGAGAGGACCGGAGUGGACGCAUCACUGGUGUUCGGGUUGUCAUGCCAAUGGCACUGCCCGGUAGCUAAAUGCGGAAGAGAUAAGUGCUGAAAGCAUCUAAGCACGAAACUUGCCCCGAGAUGAGUUCUCCCUGAGACUUUAAGUCUCCUGAAGGAACGUU
rnacentral:rRNA from 3 species